UUUUAAAUAAGCUAAAAUUAAGCUAAUGAACUCAUACUUCAUUUAUAAAAUUAUUUUUUUUAAAAA
rnacentral:tRNA from 1 species